ensembl:lncRNA
AUGUCUGAUGUCUUGCCAGUCUUCUCUGCCCAGGUGGUGAAGCAGGAACACAGACUGUGUCUGUUUCCUUGCCAACUAACACACACACACACAUACUUAAUCCUCAUUUUCUGCACCAUCACUACAUUUCCUUCCCUCCUCCUUCCACUGCUUCUUCAGACUGCCUCUAUAUCAUUACUCCUCCUUCCUCUGCUUCUUCAGACUGCCUCUAUAUCAUUACUCCUCUCCUCCUUCCUCUGCUUCUUCACUGCCUCUAUCAUUACUCCUCUCCUCCUUCCACUGCUUCUUCAGACUGCCUCUAUAUCAUUACUCCUCUCCUCCUUCCUCUGCUUCUUCAGACUGCCUCUAUAUCAUUACUCCUCUCCUCCUUCCACUGCGUCUAUCAUUACUCCUCUCCUCCUUCCUCUGCUUCUUCAGACUGCCUCUAUAUCAUCACUCCUCUCCUCCUUCCUCUGCUUCUUCAGACUGCCUCUAUCAUUACUCCUCUCCUCCUUCCUCUGCUUCUUCAGACUGCCUCUAUAUCAUUACUCCUCUCCUCCUUCCACUGCUUCUUCAGACUGCCUCUAUAUCAUUACUCCUCUCCUCCUUCCACUGCGUCUAUAUCAUUACUCCUCUCCUUCCUCUGCUUCUUCAGACUGCGUCUAUAUCAUUACUCCUCUCCUCCUUCCUCUGCUUCUUCACUGCUUCUAUAUCAUUACUCCUCUCCUCCUUCCUCUGCUUCUUCAGACUGCCUCUAUAUCAUUACUCCUCUCCUCCUUCCUCUGCUUCUUCACUGCUUCUAUAUCAUUACUCCUCUCCUCCUUCCUCUGCUUCUUCAGACUGCCUCUAUAUCAUUACUCCUCUCCUCCUUCCUCUGCUUCUUCACUGCCUCUAUCAUUACUCCUCUCCUCCUUCCUCUGCUUCUUCACUGCUUCUAUAUCAUUACUCCUCUCCUCCUUCCUCUGCUUCUUCAGACUGCCUCUAUCAUUACUCCUCUCCUCCUUCCUCUGCUUCUUCACUGCCUCUCAUUACUCCUCCUUCCUCUGCUUCUUCAGACUGCCUCUAUAUCAUUACUCCUCUCCUCCUUCCUCUGCUUCUUCACUGCCUCUCAUUACUCCCCUCCUCCUUCCACUGCUUCUUCAGACUGCCUGUAUAUCAUUACUCCUCCUUCCUCUGCUUCCUCACUGCCUCUAUAUCAUUACUCCUCUCCUCCUUCCUCUGCUUCCUCACUGCCUCUAUAUCAUUACUCCUCCUUCCUCUGCUUCUUCAGACUGCCUCUAUCAUUACUCAUCUCCUCCUUCCUCUGCUUCUUCACUGCCUCUCAUUACUCCUCACCUCCUUCCUCUGCUUCUUCAGACUGCCUCUAUAUCAUUACUCCUCUCCUCCUUCCUCUGCUUCUUCAGACUGCCUCUAUAUCAUUACUCAUCUCCUUCCUCUGCUUCUUCACUGCCUCUAUCAUUACUCCUCUCCUCCUUCCACUGCUUCUUCAGACUGCCUCUAUAUCAUUACUCCUCUCCUCCUUCCUCUGCUUCUUCAGACUGCCUCUAUAUCAUUACUCCUCUCCUCCUUCCACUGCGUCUAUCAUUACUCCUCUCCUCCUUCCUCUGCUUCUUCAGACUGCCUCUAUAUCAUCACUCCUCUCCUCCUUCCUCUGCUUCUUCACUGCCUCUCAUUACUCCUCACCUCCUUCCUCUGCUUCUUCAGACUGCCUCUAUAUCAUUACUCCUCUCCUCCUUCCUCUGCUUCUUCAGACUGCCUCUAUAUCAUUACUCAUCUCCUUCCUCUGCUUCUUCACUGCCUCUAUAUCAUUACUCCUCUCCUCCUUCCUCUGCUUCUUCACUGCCUCUCAUUACUCCUCUGCUUCUUCAGACUGCCUCUAUAUCAUUACUCCUCUCCUCCUUCCUCUGCUUCUUCAGACUGCCUAUAUCAUUACUCAUCUCCUCCUUCCUCUGCUUCUUCACUGCCUCUAUAUCAUUACUCAUCUCCUCCUUCCUCUGCUUCUUCACUGCCUCUCAUUACUCCUCACCUCCUUCCUCUGCUUCUUCAGACUGCCUCUAUAUCAUUACUCCUCACCUCCUUCCUCUGCUUCUUCAGACUGCCUCUAUAUCAUUACUCCUCUCCUCCUUCCUCUGCUUCUUCAGACUGCCUCUAUAUCAUUACUCCUCUCCUCCUUCCUCUGCUUCUUCACUGCCUCUAUAUCAUUACUCCUCUCCUCCUUCCACUGCGUCUGUAUCAUUACUCCUCUCCUCCUUCCUCUGCUUCUUCACUGCCUCUCAUUACUCCCCUCCUCCUUCCACUGCUUCUUCAGACUGCCUUCCACUGCUUCUGGUAGUGAGUGUAUCAAGGUAA